rnacentral:rRNA from 1 species
CCACCUAUAUGCACCAUGCCGCGUGUAUGAAGAAGGCCUUCGGGUUGUAAAGUACUUCCAGCAGUGAGGAAGGUGGUAGUGUUAAUAGCACUAUCAUUUGACGUUAGCUGCAGAAGAAGCACCGGCUAACUCCGUGCCAGCAGCCGCGGUAAUACGGAGGGUGCGAGCGUUAAUCGGAAUUACUGGGCGUAAAGCGCAUGCAGGUGGUUUGUUAAGUCAGAUGUGAAAGCCCGGGGCUCAACCUCGGAAUAGCAUUUGAAACUGGCAGACUAGAGUACUGUAGAGGGGGGUAGAAUUUCAGGUGUAGCGGUGAAAUGCGUAGAGAUCUGAAGGAAUACCGGUGGCGAAGGCGGCCCCCUGGACAGAUACUGACACUCAGAUGCGAAAGCGUGGGGAGCAAACAGGAUUAGAUACCCUGGUAGUCCACGCCGUAAACGAUGUCUACUUGGAGGUUGUGGCCUUGAGCCGUGGCUUUCGGAGCUAACGCGUUA